rnacentral:rRNA from 1 species
UACGAAGGGGGCGAGCGUUGUUCGGAUUUACUGGGCGUAAAGGGCGCGCAGGCGGCUUAUUUUGUCAGGCGUGAAAGCCCCGGGCUUAGCCUGGGAACUGCGUUUGAUACGGGUGGGCUAGAGUUCGGGAGAGGAGAGUGGAAUUCCCAGUGUAGAGGUGAAAUUCGUAGAUAUUGGGAAGAACACCGGUGGCGAAGGCGGCUCUCUGGACCGAGACUGACGCUGAGGCGCGAAAGCGUGGGGAGCAAACAGG